rnacentral:lncRNA from 1 species
UAAGCAGUACCCUGUGUAGCACCCUGGAGGUGGUAGUCUUCCCAAAACUCUCUUUCUGAUCGUUACAGUCCUCUUGGACCCAGGAAUGCAUGACCUCUUGACCUCCAGAGCCUGGUGAUGAAGGGGCAUCCCCUGGGCUGCAGCAUCAAAACUGGGGAAGCAGAUGUAAGAACUGGGGUACCAAACAGGUGUAAAAGCCCUUCUUUGGGAGAUGCAAAAGGAGAAUGCAAAGACUAUGACUGUUGGUCAGAAGAUAAAGAUGGAACAUGCUGAGAAAAAAGUAAAGAUCUAGGGUAAAAUAAAUAGUGUCUGCUUCCUUUAGCAAGGCAGAGAGAGAGUGCAAAUUGGUAUCUUCCAGCUCCUCCAUCCCCAGAGACUAUCCCAAUAGGCCCUUGCUCCUCUGUCUAACACUUAAAGAUUACCAAAUACAUCUCUUUCACAUAAAGUCUGGUCAUUUUUCAAAUGGCUGUUUCUGCCUUGGGCCCUGGGGUGGGUGAGGCUGUGCAUGAGUGCUUUAAGAAGCAUUUCUCAGUUUGCCACAGCCCUUUGGUUUUCAUGGACAUGUGAACUGAUGGUCAGAUAUUUUAGGGGCUCAUCUGUCAGGUGCAAAAUUUGAGGUGUCUGAUGUGAGUUAUGAACCUUUUUCUUCUCAGAGAGAGGCUCCAGGUUUGUGAUUCCCUCCCUAGUGUGGUCACUGUGCCAGGGGUGGUGUUCAUAGUGAGAUUGUGUCUCGGCCUCUCUGACCCAUUCCUGUGGCCUUUUUCUCAUUUGCCACAUGUGUUUCUGUGCUAAUUUUCAGAUCUUUUUCAGUCAUAGAUUUGGUAUAUGCAUGGAGGAGGUGAGUUCCAGAUCUUCCUAUAUGGCCGUCUUGCACCACCUCCUCAGGUUGCAUUGUACUUUUCAUGUGUUUCCUUUCCUUCCAUUCCCCAAAGCUUAUAAGCUCUUCCCUAAGCCCUGCAAGAUUCCUGGGUUGUUUUGUUGUCUUGUUUGUUUGUUUUUGUGAUCAUUCUGGAGACCUGGACAAUACCUAGCUCAGAAAGAAUCCCCUUCCUUCUUAAUAUCCUUCAGUAGUUUGGACUGAAUGAAAGUUCUUUGCUUCCUACCCCUCAAGUGCAUUGCUCUUAAGCCCCAUGGACAGUAGGUGGCCCUUGACUUGAGGGGAUGAUGACAAGAAAGUUGAAUUCAUGGGUUAAGAAAAUAAGGCGCCCAGAAAGAAGAGUAUCUACCUUAAGCAUUUAAACCAAAAGAUCAAAGGGUUAUAGAAGUGAAGGUAUUCAACAUAACAAAAUUGGAAGCAAGCGAAAUGUUUACUAAGUGCAGGACAUGAUAAAGUACAGGAUUGCUGAGCCAGUCAAUAAACCGAUAUGAAGCACUUUGCUAUUAUGUUACGGAGGCCAGGUAGAGUCAUGGAGUAAAACUUCUGUGAACUAAAAUAAGGAAGAAAGGAAGUGACACAAUUUUAUAAAUGUAUGUCUUGUGGUUAUAACUAACGGAAAAGCACAUAGGUAUUUGUAUGAUCUACAUUAUUUCCUAAAGCAAAAUUAGUACCCUGGAAUUAUGCUCUGUGUGUGUGUGCUUUAAGUGAAAGAUUCAGUAAACAUAGCGUUAUUUAUCCUCAAAGUCUUUUGUGUAGAGAUUUUUAUUUACAAUUUGUUAAUCAUUUUUGUUUAGAAUAUUAUCCUAUAUGCACACUGUCCUAUCAUAAGAUUGCUAUUUUCUUUUCCUCCACUUUGGGGGCUUGCCAUUGUUAGGACUGACUAACCAGCUAUUCAGGACACUUUUUACUUUGGUUCUUGAUCAUGACACAACAGACUCUAUACCUCUCUGGAGUCCUAAGACUGGCCAAAGGGUUUCAAUUUUCCUUAAUUCUCUAUUAUUAUAGUGCCAAGAAAUACCCAGUCAUGAUCCCAAUGCCCUCAAACUACGGGUGGAAUCAUCCACUGUCCUUAGCAUCCUAGACCUCGGGCCCCAAGGCACUGCAAGGAGCAGUCCUGUCCUGUCACCUUGGAGCUUCUGCUGCACUACAGGGAGGAAACCCUUAUGAAGUGCGACAUGUUCCCAUGCUUUAGAGAAUUCACUCAAAAAAUGAAUUUCACUCAAGGCAGAAAUGGAGAUCCCAUGGUUUCAUCCAAUCACAGUCAUAUUUCACCUUUUUAAGAAUGGUAGGAUACCUUUCACAGGAGCAACAAUUUCCCUAAUCUUUUCCAGAAACAUAAAAAGUAAGCAAGCAUGUUUUCUCAAAGGAGGGUUUUUCCUGAGAAUCCAUGGCCCGAGCAUGAACUCCUCCAACCUCAUUGCUACUUCCUGGGCAGGCCCAUGGGCCUCACCUGCUCUGCUCACUGUGAAGGGCCAGGCGCACAGGCUGGGGUCCAGCCAUGAGUUGCUAGGUGGCGUUGUCAGGAGGUCUCGUGCUCAUCUCGCCAAGUUCUGCCAAGAUACAGCUCCCAGCACAGGCAUACAAACUUCCAUCACCUCCUGUGUAUGUAAAUAAGCACACUGAGUUAUUAAAAAACUCGUGCAUUCGUUUAUCAUCUGUAAUUUCAGUCCAGGAUAAAAUGAUCAUCCAGAUUUUCACAGAAUUCAUGCAUAACAUUCAAAUCCACUAAUAAUCCCCUCUCCUAAACAGUGGGGGUUCCAUUAAGCAGUGUGCUGAACACAAGGCCCAUUUUUUUUUUUCAAAGCUUUGAAGAUAAAUUAUGAAGCUUCCCAGGAAAUGAUCUUUUCUGUAGCAAAAGAAAAAUUAUAUUUGAGGGUCAAGUUGCCAGAAUAGCCAAGGAGGUCAGACCUUUGGGCCAGGAGGCCCUCUGAGGUCUGCAUACAGUUAUCCACUGUGGGGUGCAACUGGAGUUGAUGAACCAAGCCAGGGCACCCCAAGGCUAGGCCAAUGGUAGUCAUUUCCCAGGCCUUUUGUCUCUCUUACCCAAUAAGGAGAAAAGCACUUUCACUCUGCUGAGACCUGCUUCUUUAAAGACAUUUAUAAUCCCUUCAUCCAUUAUCCUCAAUAAAAAGCUUAAAGGAGGAUCAUACCAUGGCUGGAAAUCCUUAAAACGUCCUUCUUUUUCCUUCUUCUCAACCAAAAAGAAGGGUUCAUUUUCCAGUACCAAAGCUAUUUUUUUAAAUCACAAAAAAAUUACUUAAGAAAAAACCCUAAAGCUUACCUUUUCUUUCCUUCGUGAACAACAGAGAAUAGCCCAGCAGGGUAAUCAGAUCCCAAACAGUGGUGGAGUGGCUGCCGGAGACAGGCAAAGCCACUCUGUGUGAGGGCGGCAUCUGUGCAGGGGCAGCCCCAUGUAGAGAGCCAGACCCAGGGAGGUGAGGGCGGGGUGUACAUGGUGGUGGCAGAGAUGGUAGAUGGUUACAUCUGCGGUGACUGGCAAAUAAGUAGCCUAAUGAUAUGGAAUUCAGACUUUUUGCUAUCAUUAGAGUCACCAAUGUAGAAGGGAGAAAAGCAGAGUGAAGCCUUUGGUGUUGACUGGAAUUGGAUAUGUCCAUGUGAAUUCAUGGCUUUCAGUAUACCUCUGUCCACUGUGUGCCAGGAGUAGUGGUGAUCCUCAUACCCAGAUCUUGGUCUCUAAAAACCAUCUUCCACUAAGAGGAACCAGGGCUUAUUGGAGAAAUGGCUGAUUCCAGGACAAAGCUAGGAAAAGGGCAAGAUGAGCCUUAAAUACCUUGAGUCAGAAAAGAAAGAGAUCAGAGAAUGAUGGAGACAAGUCACAAAGACUCAAAAAUUGGCUAGAAGUGGUUCCCACUGCCCAAAUUGGACAGUUUGUGCAUCAAAAUAAAUAAAGAUCAUGAAAGGCUAUAACCCAUUAAACAAAAUAGGAAACUCUGAAGCCAUUCUAGUAAUAAACAAAUAAGUGAAAGUUUGAUUUUAAAAAAAUAGUAUGGGAGUUCCUGUCAUGGGUCAGCAGUUAGCCAACCCGACUAGCAUCCAUGAGGAUGUGGGUUUGAUCCCUGGCCUUGCUCAGUGGGUUAAAGAUCCGGCGUUGCCAUGAGCUGUUGUGUAGGUCGCAGACGAAGCUCGGAUCUGGCAUUGCUGUGGCUGUGGCAUAGGCUGGAGGCUACAGCUCCAAUUGAACCCCUAGCCUGGGAACCACCAUGUGCUGCAGGUGCGGCC